GAUUUCAUCUUCUUCCUCCUUGCAGCUCAUACCAUGGGUCCAAAACGAUGAAGGAUUUUGUGAGGAGGAGGUGCUGGGCCAGAAAAUGCAAGCUGGUGACCAGUGGGCCCUGGCUGGAGGUGCCCCCCAUCGCCCUUAGGGACGUGUCCAUCAUCCCGGAGAGCCCGGGUGCCGAGGGGAGCGGGCACAGCAUCGCCCUCUGGGCCGUCAGCGACAAGGGGGAUGUGCUGUGCCGCCUGGGCGUGUCGGAGCUCAACCCUGCGGGCUCCUCCUGGCUGCACGUUGGCACCGACCAGCCCUUCACCUCCAUCUCCAUCGGGGCCUGCUACCAGGUGUGGGCCGUGGCAAGGGACGGCUCCACCUUCUACCGGGGCUCUGUGUACCCCUCGCAGCCAGCCGGUGACUGCUGGUACCACAUCCCGUCCCCGCCGAGACAGAGGCUGAAGCAGGUGUCCGUGGGGCAGACGUCCGUGUACGCCCUGGAUGAGAAUGGAAACCUGUGGUAUCGCCAAGGGAUCACGCCCAGCUACCCGCAGGGCUCCAGCUGGGAGCACGUGUCCAACAACGU
rnacentral:sRNA from 1 species